AUACGGAGGGCGCAAGCGUUAUUCGGAAUCACUGGGCGUAAAGGACGCGUAGGCGGGUUGGCAAGUCAGAUGUGAAAUCCUACAGCUUAACUGUAGAACUGCAUUUGAAACUGCUAACCUAGAGUAUGGGAGGGGGAGAUGGAAUUAGUGGUGUAGGGGUAAAAUCCGUAGAUAUCACUAGGAAUACCGAAAGCGAAGGCGAUCUCCUGGAACAUAACUGACGCUAAGGCGUGAAAGCGUGGGGAGCAAACAGGAUUAGAAACCCUUGUAGUCC
rnacentral:rRNA from 1 species